UGCCUUACACAUGCAAGUCGAACGGUAACAGCACUUCGGUGGCUGACGAGUGGCGAACGGGUGAGUAAUACAUCGGAACGUGCCCGAGAGUGGGGGAUAACGCAGCGAAAGCUGUGCUAAUACCGCAUACGAUCUACGGAUGAAAGCAGGGGACCGCAAGGCCUUGCGCUCAUGGAGCGGCCGAUGGCAGAUUAGGUAGUUGGUGGGAUAAAAGCUUACCAAGGCGACGAUCGGUAGCUGGUCUGAGAGGAUGACCAGCCACACUGGAACUGAGACACGGUCCAGACUCCUACGGGAGGCAGCAGUGGGGAAUAUUGGACAAUGGGGGAAACCCUGAUCCAGCAUGCCGCGUGUGUGAAGAAGGCCUGAGGGUUGUAAAGCGC
rnacentral:rRNA from 1 species